GACAAAACGGGUGAAAAACCCGUUCGCCGAAAGACCAAGGGUUCCAGUCCAACGUUAAUCGGGGCUGGGUGAGUCGACCCCUAAGGCGAGGCCGAAAGGCGUAGUCGAUGGGAAAAUGGUUAAUAUUCCAUUACUUCUGUGUAAUGCGAUGAGAGGACGGAGAAGGCUAAAUCAGCCUGGCGUUGGUUGUCCAGGUGAAAGGAUGUAGGCAUGUAUCUUAGGCAAAUCCGGGGCACUCUAUGCUGAGAUCUGAUAGCA
rnacentral:rRNA from 1 species